rnacentral:rRNA from 1 species
UACGUAGGGGGCAAGCGUUAUCCGGAAUUAUUGGGCGUAAAGAGUACGUAGGUGGCAACCUAAGCGCAGGGUUUAAGGCAAUGGCUCAAACAUUGUUCGCCCUGCGAACUGGGAUGCUUGAGUGCAGGAGAGGAAAGCGGAAUUCCUAGUGUAGCGGUGAAAUGCGUAGAUAUUAGGAGGAACACCAGUGGCGAAGGCGGCUUUCUGGACUGUAACUGACACUGAGGUACGAAAGCGUGGGGAGCAAACAGG